ACCUCCUACUUAGCGGUUGGACAGUUGGUGGCAGGACAUGGCUCAGAGAGGUGCAGACCAUCAAAGACACCUUUGAAACAGCAGGAAUUCCCAAGGAGGAGGGUCUCCAUAAUUCCUCAGACUUACAGACAGUAGCUGUAGCAGCAGCUUCAUCAGAGGAGUUGUUUAGUCACUCUUUUCUUCACUGGAGCUGCUGGACUUGUGGCAGCACUGCAGUCCUACAAUGGUUCCUCUUCUUCCAGCUUCUCACCCUCCUGAGUUAUCAUUUUUAGAAAAUCUCUCUCAGCACGAAGCAAUCAAUUAAUGAAGAUCCAUUAACACUAUUCCUGCACCUGAAUCAAAGGUGAACGCCUUUGAUUUGUGACACUGGGGAACAUUUCCUGAUGUGUCCCAUGUUUUCACUUUUGUGAUUGUUUUUUGUUUGUUGUUUGUUUUUUUUUUCUUUCUUAAGAAGGUCAGAGAGGUGUCACCAUAGUAAUAACAAUAACAAAAUCCAUAGUGGCUGAGGAAUGUACUGUGACCAGAUCAUUAAUACUCAGAAAUAAAACGAGGUUUUCU